rnacentral:rRNA from 1 species
ACUCCUACGGGAGGCAGCAGUGGGGAAUAUUGGACAAUGGGCGAAAGCCUGAUCCAGCCAUGCCGCGUGUGUGAAGAAGGUCUUCGGAUUGUAAAGCACUUUAAGUUGGGAGGAAGGGCAGUAAGUUAAUACCUUGCUGUUUUGACGUUACCGACAGAAUAAGCACCGGCUAACUCUGUGCCAGCAGCCGCGGUAAUACAGAGGGUGCAAGCGUUAAUCGGAAUUACUGGGCGUAAAGCGCGCGUAGGUGGUUUGUUAAGUUGGAUGUGAAAGCCCCCGGGCUCAACCUGGGAACUGCAUCCAAAACUGGCAAACUAGAGUACGGUAGAGGGUGGUGGAAUUUCCUGUGUAGCGGUGAAAUGCGUAGAUAUAGGAAGGAACACCAGUGGCGAAGGCGACCACCUGGACUGAUACUGACACUGAGGUGCGAAAGCGUGGGAGCAAACAGGAUUAGAUACCCUGGUAGGAUAGCG